GGGCCGGUAGCUCAAUGGCAGAGCCGAGUGCUCAUAACACUCUCGUUGCAGGUUCGAGUCCUGCCCGGCCCA
rnacentral:tRNA from 1 species